GUGAUUUUAAAUCGACAUCUGCUAACGGUUCAAUAGUACAGAGAAGAUUAGCAUGGCCCCUGCACUAAGGAUGACACGCUCAAUCAAAGAGAAGCUACCAAUUUUU
rnacentral:snRNA from 1 species